ACGGGAUGAGUCGUCUGGGGACGACGCCGCCAUGACGAGGCGGAGGAGCAGGGUUCGAUCCCCUGAUCCCGUA
rnacentral:tRNA from 1 species